UACAGAGGUCUCAAGCGUUGUUCGGAAUCACUGGGCGUAAAGGGUGCGCAGGCCGCGCGGGCAGUCAAAUGUGUAAUUCAGGGGCUCAACCCCUGCACUGCGCUUGAUACUUCCGCGCUAGAACCUUGGAGAGGAGUCUGGAAUUCUCGGUGUAGCGGUGAAAUGCGUAGAUAUCGAGAGGAACACCUGCGGCGAAGGCGGGUUGCUGGGCUGACACUGACGCUGAAGCGCGAAAGCUAGGGGAGCGAACGGG
rnacentral:rRNA from 1 species